UACGUAGGGGGCGAGCGUUAUCCGGAUUCAUUGGGCGUAAAGCGCGCGUAGGCGGCCGCCUAAGCGGAACCUCUAACCCCGGGGCUCAACCUCGGGCCGGGUUCCGGACUGGGCGGCUCGAGUGCGGUAGAGGAGAGCGGAAUUCCCGGUGUAGCGGUGGAAUGCGCAGAUAUCGGGAAGAACACCGAUGGCGAAGGCAGCUCUCUGGGCCGUCACUGACGCUGAGGCGCGAAAGCUGGGGGAGCGAACAG
rnacentral:rRNA from 1 species